GGUGAGAUGGCCGAGUGGUUAUGGCGCUGCGUUCAGGUCAACCCUGAAUAUAUUGGUCUCUUCCAUCUGGACGAACAGGAAAUAUCGCAGUGGAGCAAUCCGCGUGGGUUCGAGUCCCACUCUCAUCA